UCUCAGCGUUCAUUAGCUCCAGCUGAAGCUCCAUUGUGCAGACCCUGGGACCGAGGAGAUCUCAUGAGGAGGGUGGCAACGUUUAGGUCCAUGACUUGGUUUGCUAAGCCCAAGGCGGUGAGUGCUGUAAAUUGUGCAAGGAGGGGAUGGAUCAACUUAGAUAUGGAUAUUAUAGGCUGUGAAGCAUGUGCAGCUCGUCUUCUUUUUUCCACCCCAUUAUCUUGGACGCAGCAGCAAGUUGAGAAGGCAGCCAUGGUAUUUAGCUUAAAGCUGGAUAGUGGACACAAAUUACUGUGUCCUUGGAUUGAUAAUGCCUGUGACGAAAGAUUGGCAGAGUUUCCUCCCACUCCUCCUCCUGUUUUAGUUGAUAAAUUCAGAGAACGUUCUUCUGCUCUCUUACAACUUUUAGCCCUUCCAGUGAUUUCAUCUUCAGCCGUGGAAUACAUGAGAAGCUCACAGCUGGAAGAAUUUCUUAGAGAGGCACCAACCUUGGAUUAUGGCAAUGGAUCUAUUAACAUAUCUCAAGUAGAAUACCUCGGAAAUGAGUGUGAAGCUGAUUCUGCUAACUUGUAUUAUCAGGCACAAAAGCUUAUAAGUUUAUGUGGCUGGGAACCACGAUCACUGCCUUAUGUUGUUGACUGCAAGGAAAGACCAAAGAAGCUCAUUAAGGAUGUCGACAUUGUGA
rnacentral:misc_RNA from 1 species